rnacentral:rRNA from 1 species
CUGGCGGCGUGCCUAAUACAUGCAAGUCGAACGGUCUUUCUAUGGAAGCUUGCUUCCACUGAGAAGAUAGUGGCGAACGGGUGAGUAACACGUGGGUAACCUGCCCAUAAGAGGGGGGAUAACAUCCGGAAACGGGUGCUAAUACCGCAUAGUUUUCUUGAUCGCAUGAUUGAGAAAGGAAAGACGGCCUUUGUGCUGUCGCUUAUGGAUGGACCCGCGGCGUAUUAGUUAGUUGGUGAGGUAACGGCUCACCAAGACGAUGAUACGUAGCCGACCUGAGAGGGUGAUCGGCCACAUUGGGACUGAGACACGGCCCAAACUCCUACGGGAGGCAGCAGUAGGGAAUCUUCCGCAAUGGACGAAAGUCUGACGGAGCAACGCCGCGUGAGUGAAAGAAGGUUUUCGGAUCGUAAAACUCUGUUGUCAGAGAAGAACAAGUUGGAGAGUAACUGCUCCAGCCUUGACGGUAUCUGACCAGAAAGCCACGGCUAACUACGUGCCAGCCGCCGC